CGCACGGGUGAGUAACACGUAUCCAACCUGCCGUCUACUCUUGGACAGCCUUCUGAAAGGAAGAUUAAUACAAGAUGGCAUCAUGAGUCCGCAUGUUCACAUGAUUAAAGGUAUUCCGGUAGACGAUGGGGAUGCGUUCCAUUAGAUAGUAGGCGGGGUAACGGCCCACCUAGUCUUCGAUGGAUAGGGGUUCUGAGAGGAAGGUCCCCCACAUUGGAACUGAGACACGGUCCAAACUCCUACGGGAGGCAGCUG
rnacentral:rRNA from 1 species